ensembl:lncRNA
UGAGACUUAGAAUAAAUGACUUGCCUAAGAUUUCAUAGAGUAAGGGGGAUCCAGGUCAUCUAGCUCCUUGGUGAGUGAUCUUCCUAUUCUUUGUUGCUGGCCACAUAUAUUACUUUCUAAAGAUACUAAUAUGGGGGUUUAUUCUUCUCUCAGUAAUAUCAGGGAGAAUAAUAUAGGCUUUAAAAGUGUACUUUAUUUAGCAUUUAAUUUAAUUCAAAAUAACAAAAUUUAUUUUACAAUUCAUGCAGAGGACUACUCACAUUAAUAAUAGGAUUUAAAGUGAGUUUUGCUAUACUUUUCAUGUAGACAUUAAUCUUUCCCACAAUGCUUGUGCUAAUUAGUACAAGGAAACACUGUGUGUGGCAGAGUUGCUUAACCCAACCUCACAGAUUGACAGGCAAACAAAUGCUUAAAGGGCAAGGUAUCUUUAGGAAUUAAACUCUUUUGAGCUCUCAUAAUAAAAUAUGCAUUUCUUAUAAUUAGGAUUUUUUAUUUUACACUUUUCAGUUUUUUAAAAAAACCUUUGUAAAAUAUUCUUGGAGUUUUCUAGUCUAUGAACAGUUAAUGUAGAAAAAUCAGAAGUUACUAGGUUCAGUGUUCUUAUUGUAGCUUUACUGAUUGUAGAUUAAAAGUCAAAAGAAUUUCUGAGUUUUUGUAUAGUAUUGAGUACUAUGAUAUUAUCUCUCUUAAAAUAUGUUUUUCUUUAUCCAUAAUACAGAGGAAUCAAAAAAAUAUGUUAGAACUUGGAUGUGAAGUUGCACAAAUGUGUGAAGCAAAUUAAGGUGACAAGGAAGAAACAAGAAAAUGUUCAAAUUAAAUCUACCUUUCAAAGCAGGUCUAUUUAUAUUUCACUAUAUUUGCUAUUAUAAAUUUAUUUUCAUGUAUGUGUUUCUUUGCUAGAAAUGAUAAAUGGCUGCCAACCCAACUUCUGAUUCUUAGGCACCUCCAUUUUACCCACAAACCACUCAUUUUGAUUUGGUCAACACUGUGCACAAGCCCCUAAAGAAGUCCACCAUCCCAGAUCCCCAUCAACCUAUUAAACUACUGUUGCUUCUGCUGUGUCUUUGCCUCUUUCCAUACCCUUCGCUUUACACUUCAUCUCAGGUUCAGCCGUUAAAUCUUUUUACUUGAUGCUUGAGUUUGGCUUCCUGGCAUUUGACUCUAUGCUCAACCUGAUUAUCUUUGGUUUAGACUCACCUUCCAGUUCUAAGAUGCCAAGAUUUCUGUCCCUUGAUUCCAGCACAGCCACUGGCUGCCACCUCAGUGGACCAGCCCCAAACACUAGCUCCGUAUUAUAAACAUCCGUUUAUUCAUCUGUUCAACAGAUUUUAUUCAUCAUUACUAUGUGUAAGGCACUAGAGUAGUUUCUGGGUAAUACAGAAGAUUAAUUAGUGACAGAAAGCUCCUUAAAGCUCUUAAAAUCUGGUAGGACAAAUAAUACAAGUGUAUAAUGAUCAUUUAAGAUAGUAUGUGUUGAACUUACGAAGUAUGCAUACAAACGAGACAUUAAUUCAUGAAAGCUUCAAAUCGAUCCUUAGCCAGGGAGUUAAGGGGUAUGGAGUACAAGGGGACAUGACCAACAGUAACCUGAGAUGGUAGGUCAUGGAUUCAAAAAGAUUGAGAACACUGACAGCUGUUAACUAGACUUUGAAGGUAGGGUACGAAAGACACCAUGGUAGAAAGACAUUCCAAAAAGUGGAACCAAAUCAAUAGGAACAGAAAAAGUAAGUUAUGUUAAAGAAACCUUAUUUAUCUAGAUUGGUUGACAGUAUAAAUAAGGGAUGAAAGAAAGCCUAGAAAAAUUGGUUGGAACCAGUUUAUGGAAGCCUUUGAAUACUGAGGAGUUUAGAAUUGGCAAGCACAUUGGGGAGUCAGAAGGUUUCAAGCAGGAAAUAAUAAUUGGCUUGCUUUAGCAGUGAUGUACAGGAAGGAGAUAGGCAGGCAGAGACGGCAGACCAGGAAAUCAGUUAGGAGGCUAACACGUACGGUAAACUAAAGUAGGGAGGGCCUGGAGAUGAAGACUAUUCAUUUGAUUAAGUGCCAGUUACCCGCUAGUUGUGGGGAUCUGAUGAGGACUAGGCCCUUGUCAUGAGGGAGUUUUCAGUCUAGUGAGACAUUGAUCUCUUAAAGGCUCCUAACUGGGUCGCUGCAAGAUUUUGGGACCACUUCUGAGCUUUGCCAGGUUACUAAGGAAUUAGGUCCUCAUUUAACAAUGGGAUAUUUUCCUUAUUUUCUAAAACUACUUUUCAAUUUUAUGAAUCAGCUAAGACAAAAGAACCCCAACCACUUAUACAUAAAGAAAAGCAAUUUAUUACUUAAAACAAGACAGUAGCACUAAACCAGACAAGGCAAAGAAGAUGACAUGUGUUUUAAAGAGAUAACUGAAGAUGAUGUGGAGAAUGAAUUGGAGAUUAAAUUAGGAGCAAGAAAACCAGUUAAGAGGUUGUAGUUGUAGUAAUCCACCCACUUGAUGAUGAGGGUCCGUAUGAAAGAAGAGGAGUCCUUACUUCCACCAUAAUCCUUUCUUUCGCAGCCCUGGUACAACUAAGGGAUGGGUAGGCACACUCAUUUGGAAUUGAAUCUUGAACAGAGGGACUCAAGAACAGAAGAAACACUGUUUACCUCUUCACACUUAGAGGUGAUGCUCCUAGUGUCAAGUAGUCUCUUUUCUGAUUCUUUUCUUUUUUGGAGCAUGGUUUGCCAGCCUUCACAUUGAUUGUGUGAGCUCCCUGAUAAAUUCUUGGUUUUGCUUUAGUUGGCCCAAAUUGGUUUCUAGGGCUUACAAUAAAAAACCCCUAAUUGAGACUGUGGUGAUGUUUGAGGCACCUAUGGAUAACCAGGUGGAGACCGUUAGUUAGUUGGAAAUAUGAAACUAGAAUAGUGGUUCUCAAAGUGAUGCAUCAGAAUCACUGAGAACUUGUUAGAAAUGCAAAUUCUCAGGCCCCACCCCAGACUCACUGAAUAUGAUACUCAAGGAGUGGGGCCCUAGCAAUCUGAACAUUAGUAAGCCCUCAUGGUGAUUCAAAUGCACAUUAUAGUUUGAGAACCAACUGAACUAGAGCUUAAAAGGGAGAUUGUGGGCUUUGCUCUCGGCUGGACUGUUUCGUUUAUCUGUCAUCCUCCUCCUGGAACUACCUGGCUUGCCUGGGCACACUUCUCUCACGGGGAUGAAAGAAGAGUUUUAAGAGGACAAGCAGAAACAUGCAUGGCUUCUUGAGGCCUAGACUCCAAACUGACACACUGGCACUUCUGCCUCAUUCUGUUGGCCAUAACAGGUUAUACAGCCAAGCCCAGAUUCAAGGAGUGAGGAAUAGAAUUCACCUCUUAAGAGAAAUAGCAAAGUGACAUGGCAGAGGACAUGGAUUCAUGGAGGGGUGAAGCAUUGGGACCAUUAAUAUCACAGCAGGGAUGACCUGAGCAUGCUUGAAAGUAGAAGGGAAGGAAUAUGCAGAACGAAGAAGAAGGUGAAGUAAAGAGCAAAAUCGAUACCAUAGGUCAGAGAAGUAACCUUUAAGAAAAGGAAGGGCGUAUCUGGGAGUGGAGGGAAGGGAAUUUGAUUGAAUUAGAUUUAGACAAUUAAAAUAUGGGAUGCCCAGUACAAUUUGAAUUUCAGGUAAACAAUAAGUUUUUAGUAUUAAGCAUGUUCUAUACAAUAUUGAAUAGGCUCUGAGUACAUAGUUUGCUAUUUUUUGAAUUAUUUUAAGUACCAUUUAAAUAUUUCUAUAAUGCAAUGUUUGGGACACACUUGUACUAAAAUAUGACUCCUUGGUUGUUUGAAAUUCAAAUUUAACUGGACAUCCUGUAUUUUACCUGGCAACCCUCCUUGGGAUGAAUUUUAAAUAAAUCAAUGGUGAGAUAAUCUACAAAGGGAUAGAUGGGUGCAUUUGGGGAUUUAAUCCUGGAAAAAGUUUGGAAUAGCUGCUAUGAGUGCUGUGCGGCGUCAGUGAAAGAAUUGCUGAGCAGUAAAGGCCCACUUAACAGCAGGCAGCAUGCGUGUUUCCUGGAUUAAAUCAGCAGUCCUGCUUCGCUGCUGGGAAGCAAUAGUAAUAACAGAGAUGGCUGGUGCAGGUGACCACCUCGGUUUGACUUCAGCAGGAGAGGUCUGGGCGGGAGUUUGGGGUGUAAUUGAAAUUACUUAGGGGUCCAGGUUGUACAGGGGAGCAGGUGAAACCAGAGGUGAAUUGGGAGGCAGAAGGUGAGCAGUGAGAGAGGUGGAAGUUCACAGAGAAGAAACAGAAUUUACAAUCUUGGAAGAAUAGUUCUGUAUGAUAAUGAAGUUAAAAAUCCAAUUUCACUUUACAGAACUGGAGCUAACUUAAGACCAAGAGCUCUGGAGACAAGGUACCUGAUUUUGCAUUCUAGUUGUGUCAUCUUGGUCAAAUAAUUUAACUUCCCUAUGCCUUAACUCUUUAUUUGUAAAAUAGGAGUAAUAAUGGUUCAUACCUCAUAGGGUUAUUGUGAAGAUUAAGUGAAAUAAACCAUAUGAAGUACCUAGAACAGUAUGUCUGGUACACAGUAAACCCUUAAAUGUUUGCUACGUUUUAUUAUUUUAAAUAUCACUUACAUGUAUCUAUAAUCAAUAAAUGUGAGUGCUUUAGAAAAUAUUAUUUUAAAAACAGAUGGCAGGUAUACACUGUGUGUUUUCUACCUUAGCUAACAAAUGCCCUGUUUAAUAAAUACAUACACAAUUAGCUACCUGUUGAAGUUGGAGCUCAUGCAACCUUUACCAUUUAAGGUUGUUUUCUUUACUGUUAUUACAGGAAAAUAAUUAUCAUGCUCAAGUCAUAUCUGUCUCCUCAUUUCCCCUAGGUGACCACACUUGGGGAUUGUCAUAGUUUGAGUAAUUCCUCUGGGCUCUGCCACCCAGCAAGUUAAAGAGGACAAGAUUCCUCCCAGGGGAUUGUGGUUCUGGGAAUGUGAGCAGCUUGUUUUCAUGAGAUCUGCACCCUGACCUGGCCUGUAUUAAUUGACGUUGUCUGGAAAUAAAAUGAAGACCAAGGAAGUGGCUAUACUCUUAAUGUUUUAAAAUAAGGUAAUAUUAUUCUCUGUUUAAUUGGAGCCUUCUAAGGAAUUACUACAGUCUCAUACACAAUUGACUUAAAUGCAUUCUUUAUCUUUAAAAGGAAGCAGAAUAGGAUCAUUGAGUAAAUCACAUGUGUUCAGUCUUGUCUGGUGUAAUCAGAUACUACACAAACACAUUAUUCUCUAGUUGGGAGGGUAAGGGGAUAGUUGGAGCAGGACUUGCCCUUGCAGAGACCUUUUUUUGUUUAAAGAAUAGUGCAGUGAAAGACCACACAGUAGAAGAUAACAGAAAAUAUCUUCCAUGCCUUCUUCCACCUUUAUACUUUCUCAUUCUCCUUUGUUCUCUAAGGACAUCUGUUGUAAUGAUUAUUCCGUAAAACUCAUAGGUACGCAGCAGAAGGCAUAUCGUAUUUCACUUAUUGUUUUGUCUACUAUAAUUAUUGCUCUCUUUUAUAUCAUGCCAUUGUAGGUUUUUAAAAUAUUUUGUUUAUAAAAGAUAAGAACAGAUGAUAUAGAAAGUUUAUUAGUUAACUGUAGAUAUCUAAAGAGUAAAUGUUUUAACUGAAUUUAAUAAAAUUAUAUUUUAGCAAGUCUAAUAGACUUAUUAGGCUACAUCUUAAAGAGACAAAUACACUAAAAAGAUAUACUUUACAAGAUGGAUUUAAUUUUCCUUUUUUAUAUUAAUUACAAUGGAUUUUUAAAAAUGUCAUGCUUAGGCAUUUGAAAGACAUUCUUAAUGAUGAACAUCAGUGAUGUGAAUCUUUGGAGGCUUUGAAAUAGGUCCAUUAUUUCAGAUGUUUUCAACAUUUUAAUAGCUGGUUUGCUGUCUGUUUUAUGGAUGCAACUCAAAAUUCAAGUUUUUACUUCUUAUUAAGGGUUCUUAUAUUGCAUCCCACUUUUGCCCUAGGUUGAUCUUUUGGGGAUUUUGAAAUUCAUGUUUGAAGGGUUUUUUUAAUCCUUUUUUUAAUGAAAAAUGUCAAACAUAUACAAAAGUAAAGUAAAUAGUAUGGUGAACCCCCAAGUCAUAUUUGAGCUUAAGUGAUAUGUUAGUACAGGUACUACAUUUGGUAAUACAGCAGAUGCUCAGGAACUCAAGAGAUGCUUGUGGCUUAAUACACACUUGGAAGAAUUUGUGUAAAUCAAAUUCUUAAAAAUAUCCAACUGUUUCCCAACCUAUGACAGAUUGUAUUUCAAAUGUUUGUUGGUGCUCAGCCAAUUUUUGGACCUACAAAUGUGUUUCUCAUAGAAAUAAUCUUAAAAUGGCUAUUAGCUUUUCAGGCCAACUCUCAGUACCUAAUUCACAGUUAAGGCAAACCCACGCAGCAUUUUUAACAUUGUUUCAAUGAGAAAAUGCCUCCCGUGCAAUUGGGAUACUAGGGAACAACCACUGCCCAUCUUUCCUUCUGCUAAGUAUGGUUGAUAGGACAGUGGGGAGUCAGGUUCCCCUGUAACAGAGAGUGAUGGGUCCUUAAUUCUCUCAGCAAAACUCGCAGGAACUCAAGAGAAGACAACAGGAGGGGUGGAGGGUGAGAGUGCACUCCAUACAGACCAUUCUGAAAUUUUCCCCAUUUCCUCUGCUAGUGGAGUUUGUUUUUGUGGUUUUUUUUUUUUUAAAGCCCUUUUUAUUAAAAAAAAGAAAAAGAAACCUUCCUUUAUAAAAGAAAUAGUCUAUGUUGUAUCUAAAGUUUACAUUUUACACACUUUUUUUAAAAGUAGGCUUCGGACUAUUUUCUUUCUUGAAUAAGUUUCCGACAUAGGGGGAAAAUUAUUUUCACUGGCUAAGAUAUGCCUAAGAUAAUAAGAAGAAAUUCCUGACUACUAAAACAUAAAAUUGGAAUAUAAACAUAGGUACUAAACUGCCAAUAAGCUAAAAUCAGGUUAUUGGAAUAACGUUUAUAGUGAACCUAUACUGAAAAUAAGGCCAGUUCAGAGUGAGGAACUCUAAAUAUUACAGUGUUCUCUCAUCCUGAGAAAGUCAUUUAACCUCCCAGGAUAGUUAGUAAAAUGAAUGAUUGAAAGAAAUCAGCCCUAUUCCUUCUCAUUCUGAAAGUCCCAACUAUGAAUAGUCAUCUUAGAUUCUGUGAACUCUUCAAAUGCCUAGCAUGGGUGGCAUGGCUAUUAUCCUGUCAGCUAUUACAGGCUCCAGUCUUACAUCCCCUCCAGAGAAUGCGUAUUGCGUGCUUUGAGUGACUUGUCAGCAGGCCCCCAAAGCUAGCUAGCCUCGUUUUCCAGAGGGAGUAAUACCAGUACCCUUACGUACAAAGAGAAUCAAACAUACUUUGUGAUGAGUCCGCUGAAGGUCCCACAGCAUGGUCUACCACAGCUUCACUACAGACCCAUGCUCCCAUUAGAUAAAGAGGGGCCCACUGUGUGUAGCAAACUAACGAGGUACUUUGCAUAUCUUACUGUAUUAAUCCUCCCGGUAACCCUGAAGGGUGGGGAUGUUGUCCUCAUUUUACAGGUGAGGAAAUUUCCCAAGAACUAGUGAUGUAGCUAGUAUAUGGUGAUACUGGAUUCAAACCUGCUAUGAGGGGAAUGAACCCACAGAUCUCUAUUUGAACCUGCCCACCAAACUAGCUAAGGGAAGGAAACCAAAAAGCCUUCUUUGCAGUUAGCUUUACACUCACCAGCAACUCUAAGAACUCGGACUCCUCUGCCUGUGGGACCUGGGCCCUGCAAACUCCCAGAGCUAGCUCAUGUCCUCAAGACCCCUCCCAAGUCCAGGGUAAUCCUGCCCCGUCCCAGCCCUUCUGAAGUCUCAGGCAAAUGCCCUGCAGCUUUCACAAGGCUCUUGCAGCUAGAAACUCUGUCACUUCUAACCCAGAGGAGGACACUCUGGAGCUCGAUAUUAACACACUGCUCCAGAAGAACCCGUUCAGUGUCAGGUCCGUCCAUACGUACUGGUGGUGCUGAGAGUGCCAGAGGACAAGUUGUCCUGCCAACUAGCGUAACUCAGGGAAGAACCUGCAUGAAGAGAGUAGCUUAAGAGGAAUAGAAAUAAAAUCCGAGGAACUGGAGUUGUCAGGUGAUCCUACAAAGGAACCUCUAGGCCCACAGAAGUGUCUUCUGCAUCAGUAACUUCUCCAGUAACUUCAAAGAUAGCUCCUUCUAGAUCUCUGAAUUUCUAACUGCUGAUAAAGUUGAGUCCAAAUUUAAGAUAUCAGGCCCAGAAACACACAAAAGUAGCUUAGGGAAGUUCUCACAGUAUGGUCCUGGAACCAGCAGCAUUAUCCUUGCCUGAGAACUUGUCAAAAAUGCAAAUUAUUGAGGCCAGCCUAGUGGCAUAGUGGUUAAGUUCACAUGCUCGCUUCAGGGCCCAGCAUUCGCAGGUUUGGAUCCCAGGUGCAGACCUAGCACUGCUGUCAGGCAUGCUGUGGCAGCAUCCUACAUAAAACAGAGGAAGAUGGGCACAGAUGUCAGCUCAGCAACACUCUUCCUCACACACACAAAAGUACAAAUUAUUGGGCCCCAUCCCAGACCUACUGAAUCAGAAGUGGGGUCCAGGAAUCUGUGUUUUAACAAGCUCUGCUGAUGUACACUAGAGUUUGGAAACCAUCUGAUGCAGGACGAUGAAGGAUGAUCCCAGGUUUUCCAUAGUAACCUAGAAUUAACCUGCAACAGCUACCUAGAGCUGGAUUCUGCCCUCCCACCCACCACCCGACUCUAACCAGUGCUGUGGUUAGAGUUAGGUGACUCCCCAUCAAGACUACUGCCUAGUGUUUUAUUGGUUUUUUUUUUUUUUAAAGAUUUUAUUUUUUUCCUUUUUCUCCCCAAAGCCCCCCGGUACAUAGUUGUAUAUUCUUUGUUGUGGGUCCUUCUAGUUGUGGCAUGUGGGAUGCCGCCUCAGUGUGGUUUGAUGAGCAGUGCCAUGUCCGCACCCAGGAUUCGAACCAACGAAACACUGGGCUGCCUGCAGUGGAGCGUGCGAACUGAACCACUCGGCCACGGGGCCAGGCCCUUUUUUGUUUUUUUUUUAAAGAUUUUAUUUUUCCUUUUUCUUCCCAAAGCCCCCCGGUACAUAUUUGUGUAUUUCUAGUUGUGGGUCCUUCUAGUUGUGGCAUGUGGGAUGCCGCCUCAUCGUGGUUUGAUGAGCAAUGUCAUGUCUGUGCCCAGGAUCCGAACCAGCAAAACCCUGGGCCACCAAAGUGGAGCGCGCGAACUUAACCACUCAGCCACGGGGCCGGCCCCAUGCCUAGUGGGUUUUUUUCCUUGACAAUUCCUAAGAAAAUUUGAGGCAGAUAGCAGAUACUCAGUAAUGAUUGAAAUGAAAUUUUAAAACUCAUUGUUUAUGAAAGGGGAAUUAGAAAUAAAUAUCUAUUAAUAGGGAUUUUAUUAAAAACCAAUUAUAUGAGGAUUGGGACCAACACUACGUUCACUAUAUUCUCAUUGCCUACUACUGUGUAAGUAUUCAAUAUUUGUUGAUUGAAUAAAUAAAUGAAUAUAUACUCAUAUAUAUUCAAGUCCUGAAGUACAAUGAAGCCAUUAAAAAAGAUGUUUUCUAAUAGCAAUCCCACUCCUACAUAUUUAUCCAAAAACCUGAAAGUCAAUGUUUUUAGCAACUUUAUUCAUAGUUGCCAAAAACUGGAAACAACCCAAAUAUCCUUUACCUGGCGAAUGGAUCAGGAGAGGACUGCAUUUGGGGAAGUAGUUAAAGGGACCUAAUUUUAUAUGUUGUUGUUUGAAUUAUGUAGAAGAAUUUAUGUAUUAUGUAAUUAAGAAAUAACAUUUCAGGGGCUGGCCCGUGGCCAAGAGGUUGAGUUUGCGCGCUCGCUUUGGUGGCCCAGGGUUUCUCCGGUUUGGAUCCUGGGCGCAGGCACCUGGACAUGACACCGCUCAUCAGGCCAUGCUCAGGUGGCAUUCCUCAUAGCACAACCAGCAGGACCUACAACUAGAAUAUACAACUAUAUAUUGGGGAGGUUUGGGGAGAAGAAGAAGGGAAAAAAAAAAAGAAGAUUGGCAACAGAUGUUAGCUCAGGUGCCAAUCUUAAAAAAAAAAGAAAAGAAAGAAUAACAUUUCAGAAACUGAAAGGAUAGACACCAAAAAUGUCAGUAGUAGUUAUCUCUGGUUGGUAGGAUGACAAGUGAUUUUUAUUUUCUUUUUUCUUAUUUGUAGUUUCUAAUUUUUCUAUAUAAACAAGUUAUGCUUUUGUAACUAGAAAAAAAAGUUAUAAAAAAAUGGGGGAGAGAGACCCAGGAAACAUUGACUCAUAAAAAAUUUAUACAAGUUAGAAAUGUGAAAGUUAUAAAAAUAUAUAAAACAAAGUGUCACUGGAAAGAGAAUUCGGAUACUCCCUCUAGAAUAGUGCUUCUCAAACUUAACGUCCAUAUAAAUCACCUGGAGUGUCAUUGCAAUGCAGAUUCUGAUUCCAGGGUCUGCAGUUCCAACAAGCUCUCACAUGAUUCCAAUGUUCCUGGUCCACAGAGCGCUUUGAGUACAGAGGCUCUAAAACUAUACUGUCAAAAGAGCAGCUACUAAUUAGCCACAUAUGGCUAUUAAAUACUUGAAACGUGGCUAGUCCAAACUGAGUUGUACAAGUGUAAGACACACACAGGAUUUUGAAGACUUAACACAAAAAGAAUGUAAAGUAUCUUAAUUAUUUUAUAUUAAUUACAUGUUGAAAUGUUAUUUUUGGACAUAGGGUAUUAAAUAAAAUAUGUUAUUAAAAUUAAUUCACCUGUUUCUUUCUCCUGUUUUAAUGUGGCUACUAGAAAAUUUUAAAUUACACUUGUGGUUUGUAUUUUUGGCUUGUGUUCUGUUUUUAUUGGACAGCACUGAUCUAGAAUAACUAUUAACAGGAUUUUACUUCACUCUGGGUCUUAAAUCACCAACAUAAUGCAGGAAAAGGAUUAAUACUCCAUUAAUGACCAAAUUGGUAACUUUUGUAUAGUCACAUAAACGUUCCCAGGAGUUCUUAAAAUCCGUAGGUAGAGGUUGAGACAAGUAGAAAUCAUAUAAUUUUAGAUCAGGAAGAAACUGUGAGGUCAUCAAGUUCAAACCCCUUGUCCUAUGGAAUUAUUGAUCAAUUUGACAAUGAAGUAUUCAGUACUUAAUAUCUGUAAGUACUGAAUAAGUACUUAGGUGACAGGUGAGUGAGUAAGGUGAGGCACCUACCCUGGGGAAGCUAAGAAUGAUGGUAGUGGUCUGUAACUGCACCCCGUGAGGCAUGUUGACAGAGUGCUCCCAAACACAGAGGCAGAGGCUGACUCAGACUUUGAUUUUCCUGAGGAGGAACCAGACGAGUUCCACACAAGAGGGCUUAGUCAGGCCAGCUUUCAGUUUCCUCAGGUUUUAUAGCUUCUGUUUGAAUGUUACUGAUGUAAAUAAGGCUUUAGGAUUAACUUUAUUUAAGUAAUCAAUAUAAGGCAUGCUGUCCCCUCUCCUCUCUCACACAAAAUAGAUACACUGUUAUCAGAAUAGAUACACUGUUAUCAGAAAGCAAAGAAAUUUAAACCUCAGAAACUUUGAACAUGGUUGAUGGUAGCAGAAUAAAGUUUGGAGUGCAGCACUGGCACAGCCAGCCUUCAAUUAUAUGUGCAAAUGAGGGGCAAAAAUUGCUGAGAUGACUAAAAGCUAUGAAUAAAACAAAAAGUUCAGGGCCCAGCCCUGUGGCCUAGUGGUUAAACUUCUGCAUGCUCCACUUCGGCAGCCCAGGUUUGCAGGUUCGGAUCUCAGGUGUGGAUCUACUCCACUCACCAGCCAUGCUGUGGCGGUAUCUCACAUACAAAAUAGAGGAAGAUUGGCACAGAUGUUGGCUCAGGAGGAGUCUUCCUCAAGCAAAAAAAAAAGGAGAUUGGCAACAAAUGUUAGCUCAGGGGGAAUCUUCCUCAGCCAAAAGAAAAUAGUUCACUUUAGCAAUUUUUUUUUUUUUGAGGAAGAUUCGCCCUGAACUAACUACUGCCAAUCCUCUCUUUUUGCUGAGGAAGACUGGCCCUGAGCUAACAUCCAUGCCAAUCUUCCUCUACUUUAUAUGUGGGAUGCCUACCACAGCAUGGCUUUUGCCAAGCGGUGCCAUGUCCGCAUCCGGGAUCCGAACCGGUGAACCCCAGGCCACAGAGAAGGGGAAUGUGCGAACUUAACCGCUGCGCCACUGGGCUGGCCCCCAGCAAUUAUUUUUUAAAACCUGUUUAUCAGGAAUAUCUUAUACCAGAGGCAUUAUGACCGAAAUUUGUUCUUAUUUGAGUUACAUUUCCUUUCUGUGAGGCAAUGAAAAGGCAAAUUUAGGAUGCGUAAUAAAGCAUUUCGGUGAAUUAUGAAAAUUCUUGUUACUUCAAGAGGUAGUAUGGGGUGAAAAUACGAAUAAUCCUUUAACAAUUUUUUUGGUUAAAAUCUGGGUCUCCCCCAUAACAUUUCAACCCUUCAUAAUGUAGUAUUAAAGAAUUCAGGUUGCUUUGGUAUGCAGUCUUAGUCUGUCAAGAAACAGCUUCAGGGGACGAGCCUCCCUCAUUACAUGCACAGACCCAAAGAUCCUCGUGAUCAUGGGUGGAUCUAAUCUGAACGCUUGUAUUAUUCAUUUUCAACCAAUAUUUUUUAAAUUGCCCUUCUGGAAAAUGUCAAACCUACCUGAGCAUGGCUGGAUGCACCUUGUCCAAGAGUGAAAAACCGCCUGUAGCCUUUCAAAACUAAAACUUGAACUAAGCAGAAUACAUAGUUCUGCCUAAGAAUUGCAGCUGCUUUCUUCUGUCUUUAAAAGUAAUUAGAAUAGCAUUUUUAGAACCUUAAAUGUUUGCUAGGAACCAGUGAGUGAGUUUGGCUAAUGUUGCUUCAUUCAUACCAAAAAGUAGUGUAUCGAGUCUUUGGUUGGCUUUGAAUAUUCCUAAUGAGUUUUUUAAACAUCUGAUUCCCAAACAUGAGCAGUAAUUAUUUAUAGGAAGUGGUCUAAUUUUCUUGAAUAAUAAUCUUCCAUCGCACACACACACAAAAGGAAAACUCACUACCUCAUUGUUAAAAAUGUGUCAGUUGUAAGGAUGCCUGUCCUUGGAUCAGCAUGUUGGGAAUGCAGGAGAUCUCUGUCUUGGAAUACCUGUAAUAAAGAUCCCCUAAUAGAGGGAUUUGGGAUGAUGAGACAUUUACAAAAGGUUUAGAUUCUGAAAAAAUAUUUACAUGUAAGUGUAGUCCAAUAAUGCUGUAAUUUAGGUAUGAAUUCCUUUUUCUCAAAUACAGAGUUUCAGGAGAAUAAGAUGUUAUAGAAGAAUCAACACAAUGCUCAUGUGUCAAAACACCAAGAUUGCUUUUCUAUUUUCCUGAGGUACAUCAAUAGAAAAAAUACAAAAUGAUAAUUAGUCUACUUGUCACCUCAUCAGAGGUUUUAUAGAUUUAUCAUUUGAGUGUAUAGUAUAUUUAUGAUACAACUUACACACUUAUUUAUUUGAGAUGGUUUUAUUAGAUGAUAUCUUCAGGCUAUGAAAAUCUGACCCACUAUCUUUUCUAAGCUUUCCUUGCCAGAUGGACAUUAGAAAGCUUCAUGGUCUGUUUGAAAAAAUUCCUAAUAUUCCAGCCUCUUAAAUAAGCAGUUUUCCCACUAUGACAUUAAUUUCUCCUUAAAGUUUUUACCUCAACUGUAAUUUUUAGGGUAAAUGGGAAAUACACAUAAUAAUAAGUGCAAUUAAAUUUAUAACGCGCUGAUUCUCUUUUGAAGAUUGCCUUGAAAUAAAGAAGGAAUUCAAAAUAGAGAAUUUCAAUCUAGUUUCUGUGACAGUACAAGAUAUCUACAAAUCUCCCAGCAUUUCAUUCGCAUUGAGCUAUACAUUUAUGAUGCAUAUCUACCCUUACUAGAGGCCAGAAUUUUCUCUCUGGAGUAGAAUAUGCAUAAUAAUAGUGGAUAGAUUUUGAUAAAUUACUUGGCUUCAAAACAACGCUUUGUUCAUGUACAUAGAUUCAGGAGCAAAAUGUUUAGAGAACUGUUUCAAAUGUAUCUUGAGUUGAAGAGACCAACCAUGGCAAAUCCAAACUGUUCAUUCUCUUACUCUUCUA